rnacentral:rRNA from 1 species
AACGAACGCUGGCGGCAUGCCUAACACAUGCAAGUCGAACGAGACCUUCGGGUCUAGUUGCGCACGGGUGCGUAACGCGUGGGAACCUGCCCUUAGGUUCGGAAUAACUCCCCGAAAGGGGUGCUAAUACCGGAUAAUGUCUUCGGACCAAAGAUUUAUCGCCUUUGGAUGGGCCCGCGUUGGAUUAGCUUGUUGGUAGGGUAAAAGCCUACCAAGGCGACGAUCCAUAGCUGGUCUGAGAGGAUGAUCAGCCACACUGGGACUGAGACACGGCCCAGACUACUACGGGAGGCAGCAGUGGGGAAUAUUGGACAAUGGGCGAAAGACUGAUCCAGCAAGGCCGCGUGAGUGAUGAAGGCCUUAGGGAUGUAAAGCUCUUUUACCCGGGAUGAUAAUGACAGUACCGGGAGAAUAAGCUCCGGCUAACUCCGUG